AGCAGCCGCGGUAAUUCCAGCUCCAAUAGCGUAUAUUAAAGUUGCUGCAGUAAAAAGCUCGUAGUUGAAUUUCGGGACUAAUAUGUCGGUCGUGCCUCGGUACGUACUGGCUUAUUGGUUUCUCCUUUCUGAAGAACCAUGAUGUCAUUUAUUUGGUGUCGUGGGGAAUCAGGACUGUUACUUUGAAAAAUUAGAGUGUUUAAAGCAAGCUAACGCUUGAAUACAUUAGCAUGGAAUAAUGAAAUAGGACGUUCGAUCCUAUUUUGUUGGUUUCUAGGAUUGACGUAAUGAUUAAUAGGGAUAGUUGGGGGCAUUAGUAUUCAAUUGUCAGAGGUGAAAUUCUUGGAUUUAUUGAAGACUAACUACUGCGAAAGCAUUUGCCAAGGAUGUUUUCAUUAAUCAAGAACGAAAGUUAGGGGAUCGAAGACGAUCAGAUACCGUCGUAGUCUUAACCAUAAACUAUGCCGACUAGGGAUCGGAUGAUGUUAAUUUUUAAUGACUCAUUCGGCNCCUUAAC
rnacentral:rRNA from 1 species